GUAUGGUUUUGCCUAAUGUGCUAUUUACUAAAAAGGUUAAGAGAAAUGACUCGCGCGGAUGUCGCAUCCACUGCAUACGUAUCUCAUCUGAAUAUGAGAAUCAGAGUCUUCGUAGCUCGGCUGACCUAUGGGUUGGGGUAAUUGUGCUCGCUAAGACGUCGCGUCUUAUGCCUACGUAUCUCAUCUGGAAUGAGAAUCAGAGCAAGCCGUAGUUCGACUAUACGGGGUUAUGGAUUAUGUUACGGGUGAACAACGUUACUACGCAAUCUACCGGAUGCUCGACCUUUGGAGACUUACUCGCCUGUAGAGAGGAGUAAACGUGUUGCUUUGGGUUUUAGGUUUUGUUUGCGUUGUAGGAACGCGCAUGCAAAGAGGAAGUCCUAGGCGGAGGAACAGUGCUACCUAAAUUGGCAUGCAAACGGGAGACUAUGCGAAGCCUCGCAUCCUAUGGGGAAACAAUCACAUCACACAAAACAUAUAUCUUGAAAUAGAAAAAAGCCACCAAGGGCUCAAACAUUGCCUCCUAUCGAGGUCUUCCAGCUAAGAAACCGUAGAAAUAAAAGGGAAGAAGUAAAAUACCACGGAUCAAGAUCCGAAGUUACAGCAAUUAAAGGAUAAGCAACCCUGAGAUUCUCCCAAGCUGAUGCCAUCAAAGAAAACCAAUCAGUACGGGAAAUCGGAAUAAACCUCCGGAGGGUGUCCCUGCGAGAAUAUGUGAGCCCUCACAAAACAUCAACAAAGGGGUUAGGAAACAGGAUUGAAAUCAAAAGAUAACAAGGCCAUGGCAACACAAAGAACAGGUUAGAACAAAACGGAAUAAAGCAAGAUACUGUCACAUUCGCGACUGCUUCGCCUAG
rnacentral:lncRNA from 1 species